rnacentral:rRNA from 1 species
GGCAGACGGGUGAGUAACAUGUAGGUAUCUUCCCUUUGGCCUGGAAUAACACGAGGAAACUUGUGCUAAUACUGGAUAAGUCUUUACGGAGAAAGCUUUAUGCACCAUUGGAUGAGCCUGCACUUGAUUAGUUUGUUGGUGGGGUAAUGGCCUACCAAGACUUUGAUCAAUAGCUGAUUUGAGAGGAUGAUCAGCCACAUUGGGACUGAGACACGGCCCAAACUCCUACGGGAGGCAGCAGUGGGGAAUCUUGCACAAUGGAGGAAACUCUGAUGCAGCGAUGCCGCGUGAGUGAAGAAGGCCUUUGGGUUGUAAAGCUCUUUCGUCGGGGAAGAAAAUGACUGUACCCGAAUAAGAAGGUCCGGCUAACUUCGUGCCAGCAGCCGCGGUAAUACGAAGGGACCUAGCGUAGUUCGGAAUUACUGGGCUUAAAGAGUUCGUAGGUGGUUGAAAAAGUUGGUGGUGAAAUCCCAGAGCUUAACUCUGGAACUGCCAUCAAAACUUUUCAGCUAGAGUUUGAUAGAGGAAAGCAGAAUUUCUAGUGUAGAGGUGAAAUUCGUAGAUAUUAGAAAGAAUACCAAUUGCGAAGGCAGCUUUCUGGAUCAUUACUGACACUGAGGAACGAAAGCAUGGGUAGCAAAGAGGAUUAGAUACCCUCGUAGUCCAUGCCGUGAACGAUGUGUGUUAGACGUUGGAAAUUUAUUUUCAGUGUCGCAGCGAAAGCGAUAAACACAC